AAUUACUAUACUUAUAAAUGAAUCUAAUGCACUAAGCUUCGGUUGAUUUAGUUAGUUUGCCUAUCGAAGAAACUCAUAAAAGUAUAGUUUUGUGCUUCUUUUAUGGAUGAAAAACUCUAAUGCAUUAAGUCUCUCUUGAUUUGAAGUUUAUUUUAUAGCAAAAAAAUUCAGAAAAAUAUAAUUGUGUGUAAAGGAAAACAUAAAAGUGUAGUUAUGUGCAUGGAAAAAACAUUAGUCAUUUUAGAGCAAUUUUGGUCCAUGAAUUUUGGUAUUAAUUGAGUCAAUAUUUGAGUUUCAAACUAAAAUUAAUACACUUGUUAAAAAAUCUUGCUUGAUUUGCAGGUUAUAUUCUAGCAAAAAAUUCAAAAAAAAUAUAAUUGCAUGUAAAGGAAACAAGAAAGUAAUUUUGGACUGGUCUUUGUUCAUAAUUUUUUUUUGGAAUUAAUCAGAUUGGUAUUUAGAGUUUCAAAUUAUCUUUUAAGAUUACUAUACUUAUUGAAUGCAUUGUAUGAAGUCUUUCUUGACUUGGAAUAUGCGUGCUUGUUGGUAAGAUUUGAAAAAUAUGGUUGUGUGUAAACCAUAAACCAGUGAAAUCAUUUGGGAUUGGUUUGGGUUAAUGAUUCUAGUAUUAAUUUAGUUAGUUUUUGAGUUUUUACGAAUAAAAACUGUUUUUAGAUAGCACCAAUCAAUUAGCAUCAUAAUUUUUUUAAAAACAAUUUUCAUUUUUUAAAAUAAUUUUAAAUUAUGUGGCCAAAUAGGGUCCUAGUGAUCUUUCAUUUCUAAAUUUCUUCUUAUUAUAAACGGAUUAAAUAUUUGUUUAUUUUUCCUUUCUUACUUUUUUAGGUUUACUUAUAAGUGGGAAGUAAUGGCAUGAGUGGAGUCGGAAAAAGGUGGUCUUUAUGGAAGAACCUAUGGUUGGAUUAGAUCCGGUAUUGAGAACCAAUUUAUGGAAUGUUAUAAAGCAUGCAAAGCAAGAUCAAACGAUUAUUUUGACAACACAUUCAAUGGAAGAGGCAGAGGCUCUAUGUGAUAGAAUAGGAGUUCUAGCAGAUGGCUGUUUGCAAUGUAUAGCCAACC